rnacentral:rRNA from 1 species
ACUCAAAUGAAUAGACGGGGACCUGCACAAGUGGUGGAACAUGCGGUUUAAUUCGAUGUCACGCGAAAAACCUUACCAACUCUUGACAUGGUGGUCGCGAGGUGCAGAAAUGUACUUCUUCGGUUCGGCCGGACCACACACAGGUGUUGCAUGGCCGUCGUCAGCUCGUGUUGUGAGAUGUUAGGUUAAGUCCUGCAACGAGCGCAACCCCUAUUCUUAUUUACCAGCGGGUAAUGCCGGGGACUAUAAGAAAACUGCUAGCGAUAAGCUGGAGGAAGGUGGGGAUGAAGUCAGGUCAGCAUGGCCCUUAUGGGUUGGGCUACACGCGUGUUACAAUGAUAGUUACAAAGGGCUACAAAAGAGCGAUCUGGAGUAAAUCCCAAAAAAACUAUCUUAGUGCGGAUUGCACUCUGCAACUCGGGUGCAUGAAGUUGGAAUCACUAGUAAUCGCAGAUCAGCACGCUGCGGUGAAUACGUUCACAGGUCUUGUACACACCGCCCGU